CCGGUGCCAGACACUUCAGAGGGAAUGAACACAACAGGAUAAUUGUCAAGUGAUCUAUUUCCUGUCAUCCAGACCCAGCUUCUGGCAGAUAAGAGAUUAGG